CGAGUUCCCGUACGAUCACCGAUGUUAAGCAACGUCGAGCCUGGUCAAUACCUAGAUGGGUAACCGCUUAGGAAUACCAGGUACUGUAAG